UACGUAGGGGGCGAGCGUUAUCCGGAAUUACUGGGUGUAAAGGGCGCGUAGGCGGGAUAGCAAGUCAGUCGUGAAAUGCCGAGGCUUAACCUCGGAGCUGCGAUUGAAACUGUUAUUCUUGAGUAUCGGAGAGGAAAGCGGAAUUCCUAGUGUAGCGGUGAAAUGCGUAGAUAUUAGGAGGAACACCAGUGGCGAAGGCGGCUUUCUGGACGACAACUGACGCUGAGGCGCGAAAGCGUGGGUAUCGAACAGG
rnacentral:rRNA from 1 species